rnacentral:rRNA from 1 species
CAGUAGCCGCGGGAAAACGUAGGGUGCAAGCGUUAAUCGGAAUUACUGGGCGUAAAGCGUGCGCAGGCGGUUGUGUAAGACAGGUGUGAAAUCCCCGGGCUUAACCUGGGAAUUGCAUUUGUGACUGCACGACUAGAGUGUGUCAGAGGGGGGUGGAAUUCCACGUGUAGCAGUGAAAUGCGUAGAUAUGUGGAGGAACACCAAUGGCGAAGGCAGCCACCUGGGAUAACACUGACGCUCAUGCACGAAAGCGUGGGGAGCAAACAGGAUUAGAUACCCCUGUAGUCCCUGUCUCUUAUAC